rnacentral:rRNA from 1 species
CCUACGGGAGGCAGCAGUAGGGAAUAUUGCUCAAUGGGGGAAACUCUGAAGCAGCAACGCCGCGUGGAGGAUGACGGUUUUCUGAGUUGUAACUCCUUUUGUUAGAGAAGUUAAUGACGGUAUCUAACGAAUAAGCACCGGCUAACUCCGUGCCAGCAGCCGCGGUAAUACGGAGGGUGCAAGCGUUACUCGGAAUCACUGGGCGUAAAGAGCGCGUAGGCGGGAUAGCAAGUCAGAUGUGAAAUCCUAUGGCUUAACCGUAGAACUGCAUGUGAAACUGUUAGUCUAGAGUAUGGCAGAGGUAGGUGGAAUUCGUGGUGUAGGGGUAAAAUCCGUAGAGAUCAAGAAGAAUACUCAUUGCGAAGGCGACCUGCUAGAACAUAACUGACGCUGAUGCGCGAAGGCGUGGGGAGCGAACAGGAUUAGAUACCCGAGUAGUC